AGGUAAAUAUUCCUCACGCCAGCAGGUGAGGAGGCUGGGGCCAGAUGACAGCUAGUGAGGGAGCAGAGACAAGACAAGGCGAGCCUGUGACAGAGCGAGACCCUGUCUCAAAAAACAAAAACAAGACAUGUGAGCUUGGACUCCAGUGUGGAAUCCCAUGUCCGCUCAGUGCACCUUUCUGCCGCUGAAAGUACAAGAGGAGAGGGGAAACCCACAGGUGGAGCUGACCAUGAGGACUGUCACAGCUUUGAGAGGCAAAUCCAGAAAUCAGCCCUCCAGCUUCCUCUACCAAGAAGACUGGCGGUUACAACCCUGGCUCUGUGGGGCUUCUCUUGCCCUCUCUUCUGACUGCCCUACUUGGCUCCAGGUGAGGGUGAGAGGAAGCUGGAGAUGGAAGAUGCAGCUGGGGGAACUCACCAGGCAGGUCUCAGGGAACUCUUUGAAUAAGAGGACACCAGAUCAUGCCUGCAGUUCCAGCCCAGGAGCAACUAGCACCAGCCUCAGCAUGGAGCAGGACUUCAGUUCCAGCAGCGAGGACUGAGAUCAGACACAAGAGAAAGCUCCCUGAUGAGGAGGGGUGAUUCUAAAACGAAGGGCGGAAAUUAUCUGGGGAAUUUCCUUCCCGUGAAGCCUCAGGAACAUGCCAGUCCCCCACUUCGGUCUGUCCUGGGGGGUCUCACGCCCCUGUCCUCCUAGAGAAAUCUAGAUCCUCCAAACUCUGCCUGGGUUCUUCCUGGGGAGUCUUGACCCCUGCCUUGUGGUUGAUGUGGGAUAGGGGACCCGGGAACAGGGCUGCCUUCCUCUGGCCAAGGCCUGGCAAGCAAGUGUGGGAUGGGUGCUGUCUUCCUGAGAGGGACAAUAGAAGUGACAGAGCCCCCUAAUUCAAGACCCUGCAGAGGUGGUGUGAGAUCUUAUAAUAUCAGUCUCUAAGCCAGUGCCUCUCAAGCUCUCUUUGGUGAAGAAUCAAUUUUUAAAAUAUAUAAUCAGUCACAGAUCAAUGCUUUUGUAAAAUGCAAUAAAAGUUAAUUUCCAAAAAAAUCACAAAAAAAAAAAAAAAA
rnacentral:lncRNA from 1 species